AUAUAUAUAUAUAUAUAUAUUUUUUUUUUUGGAUGUGGUGAACAUUUGUAUAUAUUAUUUUUGUUGAGGUGGAUAUUAAAAGUUUUGAAUUGCAACCACUGAUUUCAAUAAGAAAUCGAGGAGUAUAUUGUGUAAGAAAUAUGAAACUAUGGAACAUACUUUGUAGUUGUUUCAGAAAUUUAAUUUUGUUGCGUUACAUUGGUAUAUUUGCAUAUGAAUGUAUUAAUGUUUUACUACUAAACAGAUCAAUCUGUUGUUUGCUAACACAUCUGUCAUACUUUCUUUCACAUUAGUUGGUCAUUUCCUACAGAAACACUGAUUCUUUUGUUUGGGCUGCUAUGUGUUAUAGCUCCAUUUGCACCAUAAACAAACAGGUGACUCCAGACUCCCUGGAGGCGUCAUUCAUCACUGCGGCAUAACAUGACAGGAAUGUGAGACUGGACAAACAAAAUUAUUUUAGAGUUCAGCAGAAGACAAAUGAGUGAGAUUUCUACUGGACCCCUGCAGAACUGGUGCUGUCCUCUAAUAUGAGGAAUUGGAGGUAUGCAGCUGAGACAGUGCUUCUCACGUCAGAGACAUCAGGAAUGAAGGAGUAGAAGCCAACACUAUUCCCAAAAGCAACGCACACCAUCAUUCCCCACAGAUGCACAGUGGAAACCCUUGCUACAAGAUUUCAGAUUCAGCCCUUGCCAACAAAACAAACAUUAUGUGCUAUAAUUAUUGUAUUUCCAAGAGAAUGUCAAAUGAGCAGCAAUCUAAAUGGCCCUAACUUUACUUUUGGCUUUGAACAAUUUAGAGAUUUUAUUGUUUUAUGCUGUAAAUUACCAUUGACAUAUCUUCAAACUUUACCCUUAAAAUGUUGUUCUUUUGUAUAAAAGUACAAAUAUAUGGCAUGUUUUUUUUUACAUGUUUGCUUUUAGAUAACACUAUUUCAGCAUUUUCAGAAGAGUUCAAAUAAUCAAUAUUUGUUAAAAGAUUUGUUAUUCUUACCAAUUUUCUUUUCAUGAAAAAAGAAAAACAGUAACAAUACAGUACUUUAUUUGGAAUAAUUUAGAUAUUGUCUCAGACUUAUAAUAAAACAAAAAUUUUACUGAAAACCAUAUUAAUAAAUCCAGAAAAUUCAGUGAAAC